rnacentral:misc_RNA from 1 species
GAGGCGCGCCUUUGAUAACACUGAUGCCACAGUUUCUGGAGUCCAUAACACAAGUUAGUCUUUUCAAAUAAUACCAUAGUUUCCAGGAGCCAUAACUUCAAUUUAUGACCUGGUUUUUAUUCAAUCUUUCCAACUUUUUCAAUGGUUAAAUUCCUUAAACAAUGCACAAGCAUCAAUCUAUGUAUAGAAACAAUUCAUGGUUUCAAACAACGGCCAUUACGUAAUUUACAAGUUUUUGAAGGCCCUGUUACCCGUUACCCCAUUAUAUAUAAGCAAAUUCUAAGUCGUAGAUGUAACAGCCAUUACCACUAUUAUGUAACAGUAAUGGCCUUUAUUUACCGUUAAGUAACGGUAACGACCAUUACCUCAAUAACUCAGUUGGCAAAUAAUAUAGGCAUGCAGUGUUUUCUUUAA